AGUGAACGCUGGCGGUAGGCCUAACACAUGCAAGUCGAACGGCAGCACAGUAAGAGCUUGCUCUUACGGGUGGCGAGUGGCGGACGGGUGAGGAAUACAUCGGAAUCUACUUUUUCGUGGGGGAUAACGUAGGGAAACUUACGCUAAUACCGCAUACGACCUACGGGUGAAAGCAUGGGAUCUUCGGACCUUGCGCGAUUGAAUGAGCCGAUGUCGGAUUAGCUAGUUGGCGGGGUAAAGGCCCACCAAGGCGACGAUCCGUAGCUGGUCUGAGAGGAUGAUCAGCCACACUGGAACUGAGACACGGUCCAGACUCCUACGGGAGGCAGCAGUGGGGAAUAUUGGACAAUGGGCGCAAGCCUGAUCCAGCCAUACCGCGUGGGUGAAGAAGGCCUUCAGGUUGUAAAGCCCUUUUGUUGGGAAAGAAAAGCAGCAGGUUAAUACCCCGCUGUUCUGACGGUACCCAAAGAAUAAGCACCGGCUAACUUCGUG
rnacentral:rRNA from 1 species